rnacentral:rRNA from 1 species
CCAAACUCCUACGGGAGGCAGCAGUGGGGAAUAUUGCACAAUGGGCGAAAGCCUGAUGCAGCAACGCCGCGUGAGUGAUGAAGGCCUUCGGGUCGUAAAACCCUGUCCUCAAGGAAGAUAAUGACGGUACUUGAGGAGGAAGCCCCGGCUAACUACGUGCCAGCAGCCGCGGUAAUACGUAGGGGGCUAGCGUUAUCCGGAUUUAC